rnacentral:rRNA from 1 species
AGGUAAUAAUAAAAAAUAAAACCUAUUUAAUUUGGCAGUUAAUAAAUCUUAGAGAAGCUUGUUUUAUAAUCGACAAUACUCGAUAACUUUUACUUUAACAUAUAAAAAUUUAUAUACCGCCGUCUUAAGGAUAAUUUUAAAUAAUAUACCAAAAAAAACAAUUUUAAAUAAUCAGGUCAAGGUGUAAUCCAUUUUAAAGAAAAAAUUAGCCACAUAUAAAAAUAAUUUAUGAAACAUAAUUAAAACAAAAUUGAGAAAUAGAAUCUAAAUUCAAAAAACAAUUAACAUAUAUAUUCGAAAUUAAAUUUAUUAAUGU